rnacentral:tRNA from 1 species
ACUAAAAUAGCAAAAGAAUUGCGUGAGGCCUAAGCCCUUUAGUUAUAGGUGCAACCCCUAUUUUUAGUG